AUACGGAGGGUCCGAGCGUUAUCCGGAAUCAUUGGGUUUAAAGGGUCCGUAGGCGGGAAUCUAAGUCAGUGGUGAAAUCUUGCAGCUCAACUGUAAAAUUGCCAUUGAUACUGGAUUUCUUGAAUUAGUGUGAAGUGGUUAGAAUGUGUAGUGUAGCGGCGAAAUGCAUAGAUAUUACACAGAAUACCAAUUGCGAAGGCAGAUCACUAACACUAUAUUGACGCUAAGGGACGAAAGCGUGGGGAGCGAACAGGAUUAGAUACCCGUGUAGUCC
rnacentral:rRNA from 1 species